UCCCUCCCUCCCUCCCUCCCUCCCUCCCUCCCUCCCUUCCUUCCUUCCUUCCUUCCUUGACGUAGUCUCGCUCCGUUACCAGGCUGGAGUGCAGUGGCGCAAUCUUGGCUCACUGCAACCUCCACCUCCCAGGUUUAGGCAAUUCUGCCUCAGCCUCCCAAGUAGGUGGGAUUACAGGCGCAUGCCACCAUGCCCAGCUAAUUUUUGUAUUUUUAGUAGACACGGGGUUUUACCGUGUUGGCAGGAUAGUCUCAAUCUCUUGACCUCCUGAUCCACCUGCCUCGGCCUCCCAAAGUGCUGGGAUUACAGGCGUGAGCCACUGUGCCUGGCCGGGCAGGGACACUUUCUAGUGUCCUUCUACAACAUGGAAAGGAAGCAUGAUUUCUGUAGACAGUUAACCACUUCCAGGACAUUGCCCCUUACCCUUCAUUGAUGCAUUCCUACUGCUUUGGUGAAAGAAGCAUCUUUAGACCUUCUUAUGGGACAUAGAGAGGGGUGGAGAGGGAUUCAUUAGCAUAAUGAAUCUGCCCCAGCUUCUCAUCUCCCUAAGAAUUUGUAUUCCUUUCUCUUCAGUGUAACUAGAAAUUUCUGACAUGACUGCAUCAUUUAAUGUAGACCACUUUUAAAUGCAAGGUUUAAUUAACCAACCAAGCAAACUAUUAGAGCCACUCCCAGCUGUUCAUUAGUUUAUUGAAUUCAGAAUAUGCCAUAAACUAACUAUAUGGAUUAAUCCAGUCCACUCCAAUGCUAUGUUUUUCCCCUUUGUUUUAGUACUUUUAGACUUUGUUUCAACUAUAUUUUUCAGGUGCAUUUUGAUGUCGUAGCAAAAUUUUAGCAUUCUUUUUUUGUUUAAUGUCCUCCAGAUCCAAUUUUUGUACUUUUUUUCCUGUGGGAUACUAUGAAAUUGAGUUGUAUUUAUAAUCCUGGAGGCCAUGAGAGUUGGUGGGUUGAGUUUUGAAGAUAAUUAGCAUCCUUCUAUAAAGUAACUGCUUCAUAUGAGAUCAUUGCAGGACUCUCAAGCAGGAAAUGGCCAGAAUUUUCAGAAGAGAAGAAAGGUUUUUUUGCUGGUAAGUGACACUCAGUGGUAUUUGUGUGUUCAAGGUACCUGAAUACUGUAUUAAUCAUGCCUUUUUGUGUUUUUGAAGUUUUUGUAUUUUCAGUGUUUUGUAUUUUUGAUGUUUGAUAUCUGGGACCUUGUUGAUCCUAGAGUGUCUGCCCAUCCCAGGGCUGGAUAAUUCCUAGACAGAGUAAAAGACUCACCUGCAAGUGCAGUUUUCAUAUGCAACCCAACCAAUGCAAAGCGACUACCCACCAAAUACCUCCUUUAUUGUGCUCUCUCUCCCCUAAUCACCAGAGCCAGGUGCCAGGCAACUGGCAGCAAUCUCUAUCCUCCAGAGCCUCCUGAAUUAUCCACACUAGCCAAUCCUCAGCCUGCAGAGCCUGCCUCACGCGUUCCUUCCUGCAAAGCCCACAUUAAAGACUCUGCCUACAUGCUCUUCCCUGCUCCUCCUGCUUCUGGUGCUUCCCCAUGUGGUUCUCCAUGCUCCUCCCCCCAGAAACUGUGAGUAACAAACUCUGUUUUCAAUGGCAGUUGUCUUCCGAUCUGUUGGCUUUACCACACAUAAAUAAUAAUAACGCUUCCAUUUUAUAACAGAUAGAUGAAAAUCUAUCCACAUCUCCCUAUUUUGAGUCUCAGAUGUCUAAUCUUUCCCCCAACCCUACCUUUCACAUGAGAGACAUAGAAAGGCUGUGAAUUCUAUUUAUAUUGUAUUCAUGCAAUCAAUAGGAUUAAAUUUGGAGCCCAAGUAUUUGCUACACUGGUUCUACAGCUACAAGAAAGAGGAGACUUGGCCGGACGCGGGGUCUCACGCCUGUAAUCCCAACACUUUUGGAGGCCGAGGCGGGUGGAUCAGGAGGUCAGGAGAUCGAGACCAGCCUGGCUAACAUGGUGAAACCCCAUCUCUACUAAAAAUACAAAAAAUUAGCUGGGUGCAGUGGCAGGCGCCUGUAGUCCCAGCUACUCGGGAGGCUGAGGCAGGAGAAAGGCGUGAACCCGGGAGGCAGAGCUUGCAGUGAGCUGAGAUAGCGCCACUGCACUCUGGCCUGGGCGAAAGAGCAAGAGUCCGUCUCAAAAAAAAAAAAAAAAAAAAGAGAGAGAAGAGACUUCAGCCAAAAAUAAAAGUAAAACCUGAGCUGCUAUUUUCUUAAGCUCUAUUCUAAACAUUUAGCUUGCCCCCACAGUUCUUGUGUUAACAGCAGCAAAUCCGUAUGGGUUUGCAGCAACCUCACUUCUUGCCUCCUCAGAAGAAAGAAUUUGACUGAGGGGCAUAAGGCAGAGGGAGAAACUAAGGCAAAUUUUUGGGCAGUAGUGAAGGUUUAUCAAAAAGUUUUAGAGCAGGAAAGAAAGGAAGUAAAGAGAAGUAGUGAAAGUUUAUCAAAAAGUUUUAGAGCGGGAAAGAAAGGAAGUAAAGUACACUUGGAAGAAUGCCAAGCAGGCAACUUGAGAGAUUCAAGUGCACUGUUUGACCUUUGACUUGGGGUUUUCUACGUUGGCAGGCUUGAGGGGUCUGCAUCUCUUUUUCCCUGAUUCUUCCCUUGGGGUGGGUCUCCACAUGGUCAGUGGCCUGCCAGCACUUGGGAGGUGAGCAUGCGCAGUGUGUUGACUAAAGUUGUGUGCAUGUUCACUUGAGGCAUUUUUUCCUUAUUAGUCGAACAUUUCUGGAGGAAGGUCAUAUACCAGUUAAACUCUGCCAUUUUGCCUCUUAGUGCACAUGCUUGAGCCCACUAACCCAGCUCCCGAGUUCUUACUGGGAAGCUGCUCAUCACCAACUUUAGGUGUGUUCUGUCUACUGUGAGACCGCCCUUCCCUGGUGCCAGUUGUGACCAAUUACUGUUUUAAAGAGACAGCUUAACAACUGCUGACCGUUACCUGACGGUCACCUGCUGCUCCUCGUUGGGGGAUGGGGCCCUCUCCUGCUCUGCUCAUGUCUGCUUCGCUACCUAACUGACAUUCACCUGCAGUUCCUCAUUGAGGGGUGGGGCCCUCUCCUGCUCUGCUCAUGUCUGCUUCGCUACCUACCUGACAGUCAGCUGCCGUUCCUCGUUGCGGGGUGGGUCCCUCUCCUCCUCUGCUGUGUCUGCCUCACUAUCUAUUCUAGCACUUGUGUUCCUCGUUCCCAUCAUAAUGGCCAAUAGCAGCAACCACUUGGGCUACCAAAAGCUUGCCUUAAAUAGCUAUUUUUACUGGCUAUCUGUAUGCCACUUUCAAGUGGAAACAAAGACAUCCAGGUCAGAUAUCAAAUAAAAACCAAACCAGAUACCCAGUUCUAGAAUACCCAGGUCAGCAAAAAAAAAACACAUUACUGCAGAAAUAGACUUAUACUUCUACUAAUUUAGACCAACUGAUUUAGACCAAGAUGCCAAGGCAAUGCAAUGGAAAAAGUAAGGCCUUUUCAAAUCGAUUGGCUGUGUAUAUGAAAUAAAUGAGUCCUGACCCAUAUCACACCAUACACAGAAGUAAUUUCAAGAUAGAUGAUGGACCUAAAUGUUAGAGCUAAAAUGAUAAAGCUUGUAAAAGAAAAUAAUACAAUAUCUUCUCAAUAUUGGAAUAGGUGAAAAUUUCUUAGGAUUCAGCAUGUACUAAGCAUGAAAUAAAUAAUUGAUCAAAUGGGUUUAAUAAAAAUUAAAACCAUUUUUAAGAACUCUUCACACAGUAUACUUAAGAUCAGAGUAUUUCUCUUUGUGCAAAUUUCAAUUUUUUAAAAAACCUACUUUAUCAUUUCUUUCUUAUAGAAUUAGCAAAAAUCUGAAAGUUUGACAACUGCUUUGUGAUGGAGGCGGAGAAGCACCGCCACUAAACACACACAUGCACACACAUGUACACAUACGCACACACAAGUACACAAACAGUACAAACACAGUACACAUACGCACACAAGUACCCACACACGUACAUGCACACAGUACAUGUGCACACACGUACAUGCACAUAGUACAUCUGCACACAUACACACGUACAUGCACACACGUACACAUACAUGUACACACCCUCUCACAGGAGCUUGGGGGAGUGGUCUGGUCAUUUCAGCUUCUCUAUCUGCCUACUGGCCUGAGCUGAAGGCACAAGACUGCAGCCUCUCCUAGCCUCAGCCUUCUGAACUUUAAGCCCAGGGAAUCAUCACUGCUCUUAGUUCAUAGACAAGAGGAAAUCCUUUUUAAACCCAGCUUUCUUGGGGACACUACCCCAUCUGCGUGUAGCCACCAUUCUUUGCUUCCCAGCUGCCAAAAUUCUUGUGGCCACUGCAGCUUUAGACCAAAACGGACUGCAGGUGUAUACUGAUUCUUCCUGCUAAGGCGUUUAGGUGCUUCCUCACCUAAAUGCUUUCCAGACUCAGAUGGUGGACAAGCUAUCCUGUUCUGAGAAAGCUAAUGAAGGCCAGGCUAAAGGAACUGUCUUUACCUCAUAUUUUCUUUCUUCUCAAAUGCAUAUGCACAAAGGUUGAUGCUUUUCCUUUGUUGUUGUUGUUGUUCACAGCUCAUGGAAUUCCACUUAAGGCAAACUCAUAUAAAAUGCUCUCUUUUUUAAAAAAUAUUCUGCAGCUUUUUCAUUCUCUCUCUUCAAAAAUAUGCCAAGUUGCCUCAGUAAAGAAUGCUGUUUUGUAUGUCAUGCCUGAUUGAAAAAAUUCUGCUCAACAAUGAUUGCAUGAAGAAUGGACAGUCCACCCUCUCGCCCAGAUGGCCCGAAAGGUGCCCUUGGUGUCCAUCAGACUGUCAGACUGCUGUUUACUGGGGCAGCUCCCAGGGUCUCUGCUCUUCUUUUGAGUCUGCACCACCGACAUCCAUUUAAGCUUCAAUUGGAGCUCCUGAUGCUUGCGAGCAAAGGAUAAAAUCUGCUGUGGAAGGAUGCCUGUUUGCAAGGAGGAAAGAACAAGCUUCCUGCUUCCCAGGUCCCUGGCAUGCUCCCCCUGGUGGAAAGGCACUCCCUCCAAACUCUUGGAGAGGACUCAGGCUGAAAGUGGCAAGCUACUUCCGAGUUCCAGGUGACCCAUAGGCUGUGAGUUUGCUGUUAUGAAGAAAUUGCUAUGCUCAUCAGCUUGCUUUGAACGAAGCCGUUCUUUACCAAAUGCCCUGAAGUCAUUGGAAAGUCACACGACCUUGCUUUAAAGUGAAGAAUUAUAAUUGUUUCUCUGAAGAUGAGGGAGCUGCGCGAAGUUUGUCAGAUGCAACAGAGCCGUGUGUAUGCUAUUGAGAACUGGACAGGAGUGAAAGAGAUUGAUGAAGACAACAGUGUAUAUAGCAUCUCCUAUUACCUAUUAGCUCAGUGCUUCAUGUGCAUUACCUCACUGAAUUCUCGCAACAGCCCAAAAAGGUCAUCCAGAGCUCUUUGGAGCACUUUCUACUUGCUGGGCUUGGAGGACAAUGCAAAGAUGAACAAUAGAUGUUCUCUGUCUCUUUGAAGCUUAUAAUCAUCUGGAGAGACACAUUGGCAGAGAGACUACCUUAAUACAAUGGGGUGUCAGAAGUAGCCGAGCUGAAGCCAUGCUCUGGAAGAACCUGUGCAGGGAGAGAAAGACCUGUUUGAGACCGACCUGAAAGCUCUCCCGGGGAAAGAGCAGCACAUUGGUGGUAUUAUUCCAACAUCUUUUAGCUUCCCUUGCUGUCGUUGAGAAGUCUGUUGAUUUGAUACUCCUCUGUAAGUAAUCCAUUUUUUCCUUGCAUAUGCUGAUUUUGAGAUCUUCUCUGCCUUUAUUGUUCUGCCAUUUCACUAAAAUGUGUUUGUUUGGAGAUAUAUAAAUUCUGCUUGGACUGUAUUGUGCUUCCAGAAUUGGAAGAUCAAUGUCUUUCAUUAACUAUGGAACAUUCUUGGUCACGGACUCAUUGAAUGUUUCCUUUUCUCCAUUAUUUCUAUUCUUUUCUGAAACUUCGGUAGUCAUAUGUUAGUCCUUUUAACUCCAUCUGCCUCGUUUCAUAACUUCUCUCUCAUGUUUUCCCUUAUUGCUUUUUAGCAUCCUGAGUAAUGUUCAGAUCCAUCUACUGGUUUACUGAUUAUAUUUUUAUUUCCAUAAAUUCCACUGGAUUCUUUUUCAAUUCUGCCUGGCCAUUUUUUGAUGGUAUUUUGUUUUCAGUCUCAUUUUAAGUUUCUUCCUUUUAAAAAAUAUUUUAUACAUAAUUAUUUACAUUUACUAUCUAAUAAUUUAAAUAUAUGAACUCUGGGUGUGUAAUCUUCUUUCCUGUUCUUUUUCAUGAUGGUUUGUUUUCUGUUUAUGAAUUUAGCAAUUGUAUGUUUUGUACUCACGUUUGGCUGAACUUAAUUCGUGGGAAUCUGUAGGAGACUGUAAAAAUAUCAGUGGUUGCCACAGUAUAGAUGAACAAGUGAAACACUGAGGAUUUUUUGGCAGGGAAGCCACUCUGUGUGAUUACUACAAUGGUGGCCACAUGUCAUUAUACACUCAUCAAAACCCAUAGCAUGUGCAAUGCAAACAGUGAAUCCUAAUGUAAACUCUAGAUUCUAGUUAAUCAUAAUGCAUCAAUAUUGGCUCAUUAAUUGUAAUGUGCCACACUAAUGCAAGAUAUUAAAAUAGGAGAAAUUGGGAGGAGAUUGGGCGUACGGGAAUCCAUUGUAUAAUACUUUCUGCUCAAUUUUUUUAUAAACCUAUAACUGUCAAAAGCGUAUUCAUUUUUUUAAAUGUAGAGAUAAAAAACUAAAAAAAAUUAACCUUUGUGAUUUUGACUUAAACAGGGAACCCUGUCUCAGGGUCAUGAGAGAAAAGAACCAAGUGUCUCCUUCCGUGAACUGAAGGGCAUCAAGAAGAGUGGCGUUUUAGUGGCAUAGGGGAAUUCACUUUCUUUUGCCAUCUAAUGUUGGCCCCCAUGGGAAAUCAUCACUUUUUUGCCUUAUGCAUAGCAAAACCUUGAAGAUUUUUGCACCAAGGAUUUCCACCAUCUGGAUAUUUUCCAUGGAUGAACCAGGAAAAUACUUUCCAGGCCCUGACAUACAUUCUCUACACUAUGGCCCUUAUGAAAAGAUAUUGACCAUAUUUCCACCACCAUCCUUUUUGAUGAUUUGGACCCUUUAUUAAUAUAUUUAGAUAUUUUCAAUACGCCUCAGUUGUUUUAAAAUAAAAUUGGGUCUGUAGUUUGAAUCUGAAUAUAUAAUCUUUUGUUUGAAUUGUAAAAUAACUUUGCAGUGACAUUUGAGGAAAGAUGGCUUAUAAAUACAUCAUGCACACAAUAUACAUAUACACCCAUCCUAGGUGCAUACUGAAAUUAACCAAAAUAUAUUUUAAUUUUUUUUUUUUUUUUUGAGACCGAGUUUAGCUCUUGUUGCCCAGGCUGGAGUGCAAUGGUACGAUCUCGGCUCACUGCAACCUCCACCUCUCAGGUCCAAGCAAUUCUCCUGCCUCAGCCUCCCAAGUAGCUGGGAUUACAGGUGCCCACCAAUGUGCCCGGCUGACUUUUUAUAUUUUUAGUAGAGACACGGUUUCACCAUGUUGGUCACGCUGGUCUCGAUCUCCUGACCUCAGGUGAUCCACCUGCCUCGGCCUCCCAAAGUGCUGGGAUUACAGGCGUGAGCCACCACACCCGGCCAAAAUGCAUUUUUAUAAAAGAAAAAAAAAGUAUCUGUGUUGAAAUUAGAAGAACCAAACUCUUGCUGCAAACUUUGUAUAUUUUCAUUAUAAUUUUACCAGGAUGAAAGGAGACCCAGAAAAUACACACAGACAUGUAGCAUUGUUAUUCUAGAGUUCCUUGAAAUGCAGAGGACUGGGAAUGUCAUGAAAAAAAGUCCACAGAGUCCCACCACCGCCUACAGCUCAGAGAACAAAAGCCUGUGGCCCAGGCAGACGAUGGGAAGGACAGGGAGGUCUCCUUGGAAGCCACUUGACCUCUGUUGGGACAGGCUGGAGAGAACAGCCUGCCUGUAUGAUGCCUCCCCUCCCGCCCUUGACACGGCUUCUACAAGGUUGGGGGCAUGAUGAGGAGGCAACUAAGUUUCCCAGCUGGUACUAGAGCCAUCUUUGCAGAGAAAAAUGUGUAUCUGGCUCAGGAAAUUAAAAAGGCUUUGAGUUCCAAGAAAAUCACCACAAAGAGGGAAGAACCUCCUGAAAUCCAAGGAUACCCCUACACAUGAAAAGAUUCCACCCAAGCUGAUAGAACUUCACUCCUUUCCUGGCCCCCUUUUGAGGGAAAGUAUUCCAAUAAUGUAUUCCUCCAUUGUGACUGAUCCUGACCCCAACUCCCUCGCCACUGUCCCCAGGCAGGCUGAACAGAGACGAUACAUUGCCAGCAUACAGCCCUCCAGGUACAGAGAGAAGAUCAUGAGUAGGCUCACGUCAAAAGGGAAAGACAGCAGUGGGUUUCUAUCUAGAUCAUGUGGACCAAAAGGCAGAUCUCCUAGAACUGGCCCAGAGUUAAAAACAAACAAGCUGAAAAAUAGGAAAAUCUGGCAAAACUACUACAAAAAAAGAAACAAAAUGUACAACAUACACAUGAAUAAUACAUUUGUUUGGCUAGUAUCGAGAAAAAUAGAGCUGUUUUAUGCAAGGAUGUUGAAGAAAAGAUGAAACACUAUGAAACAGGAGCUCAUAAGAGGAAAGAAUAAAAUAAA